rnacentral:rRNA from 1 species
ACGCUGGCGGCAGGCUUAACACAUGCAAGUCGAACGGUAACAGGGAUUAGCUUGCUAAUUUGCUGACGAGUGGCGGACGGGUGAGUAAUGCUUGGGAAUCUGGCUUAUGGAGGGGGAUAACUACGGGAAACUGUAGCUAAUACCGCGUAAAAUCUUCGGAUUAAAGGGUGGGACUUUCGAGCCACCUGCCAUAAGAUGAGCCCAAGUGGGAUUAGGUAGUUGGUUAGGUAAAGGCUGACCAAGCCGACGAUCUCUAGCUGGUCUGAGAGGAUGACCAGCCACACUGGAACUGAGACACGGUCCAGACUCCUACGGGAGGCAGCAGUGGGGAAUAUUGCACAAUGGGGGGAACCCUGAUGCAGCCAUGCCGCGUGAAUGAAGAAGGCCUUCGGGUUGUAAAGUUCUUUCGGUGACGAGGAAGGUUGAUAGGUUAAUAGCCUAUCAAAUUGAUGUUAAUCACAGAAGAAGCACCGGCUAACUCCGUGCCAGCAGCCGCGGUAAUACGGGGGGUGCGAGCGUUAAUCGGAAUAACUGGGCGUAAAGGGCACGCAGGCGGUGACUUAAGUGAGAUGUGAAAGCCCCGGGCUUAACCUGGGAAUUGCAUUUCAUACUGGGUCGCUAGAGUACUUUAGGGAGGGGUAGAAUUCCACGUGUAGCGGUGAAAUGCGUAGAGAUGUGGAGGAAUACCGAAGGCGAAGGCAGCCCCUUGGGAAUGUACUGACGCUCAUGUGCGAAAGCGUGGGGAGCAAACAGGAUUAGAUACCCUGGUAGUCCACGCUGUAAACGAUGUCGAUUUGGGGAUUGGGCUUUGAGCUUGGUGCCCGUAGCUAACGUGAUAAAUCGACCGCCUGGGGAGUACGGCCGCAAGGUUAAAACUCAAAUGAAUUGACGGGGGCCCGCACAAGCGGUGG